GUUUGAUCCCUGGCUCAGAACGAACGCUGGCGGCAGGCUUAACACAUGCAAGUCGAGCGCCCCGCAAGGGGAGCGGCAGACGGGUGAGUAACGCGUGGGAACGUACCUUUUGYUACGGAAUAACUCAGGGAAACUUGUGCUAAUACCGUAUGUGCCCUUCGGGGGAAAGAUUUAUCGGCAAAGGAUCGGCCCGCGUUGGAUUAGCUAGUUGGUGAGGUAAAGGCUCACCAAGGCGACGAUCCAUAGCUGGUCUGAGAGGAUGAUCAGCCACACUGGGACUGAGACACGGCCCAGACUCCUACGGGAGGCAGCAGUGGGGAAUAUUGGACAAUGGGCGCAAGCCUGAUCCAGCC
rnacentral:rRNA from 1 species